rnacentral:tRNA from 4 species
GACUCAGUAGCUCAGCUGGAUAGAGCGUUUGACUACGAAUCAAAAGGUCGGGAGUUCGAAUCUCUCCUGGGUCACCA